rnacentral:rRNA from 1 species
UACGUAGGGUGCAAGCGUUGUCCGGAAUUAUUGGGCGUAAAGAGCUCGUAGGCGGUUUGUCGCGUCUGCUGUGAAAUCUGGGGGCUCAACCCCCAGCCUGCAGUGGGUACGGGCAGACUAGAGUGCGGUAGGGGAGAUUGGAAUUCCUGGUGUAGCGGUGGAAUGCGCAGAUAUCAGGAGGAACACCGAUGGCGGAAGGCGGGUCUCUGGGCCGAUACUGACGCUGAGGAGCGAAAGCGUGGGGAGCGAACAGG